UAAACCUUAAACUUUAUUUCAGCUGGUAGCUUCUGUCUUCUCACUCAGCUGAGUCUUCCAUCACUGAAGCUUCCAAGGACUAAAUCAGCCAGAUGGUUCUGGGCAUUACAAGUUGCUGCAGGAUGAGUGGAGGAGGCUUCAAUAAUCCAUAAUUUUGUCCCCAAAAGCUGAGCCAGCUUUAAACGCUGCCAACUUGCACUGAUAAGGAAGGCCGCAGCGGGAUGACUCCCUUUUGGGGUAUGUGAAGUUGGAUGGCUGACUUCUCUGACUCUGAGUUACAUCAGUAAGGCCUGGGCUAGAGUGUCUGCCAUGGACAAGAGCCAGAUCUGACACAGUGGGAAGGAAAUGUAGAUAGAACUUAAAGACAUUAGAAGAAGGAAAGAGAGAUGAUACUCUAGAUUCGUGAAGGAGGAGGCAAGAGUUUCCAGGAGGGAGGGAGUGUGGUAUUUAAUCAGAAUGAGGACUGUGGAAUCUGGUGAGGAGGAAGGUAAUGGAAAGCUUAGAGAGAACAGUUUCAGUGGAAUGUCUGAAGCCAGACUGUAUGGCAUUUGUGAGGCAGUGGAAGCUGUCGUGUGCAACCCAGGAUGAUGCCAAAUCCUAUUGCUAGUAGUGAUUGCCUCGAGUUCUUUGUGGAGCAGGAUCGUGAGGUUGUUUCUGGGUGAAUCUAGGAAGAGUGCUAUGAUUGAUUUCUAAUAUCUGUUGUAGGCAUAGGAGCGGUCAGUGUUGGCCUGCAUGACACAUAUGUACCAUCCUUGGCAGAGGUUAGAUGUUGUAGGAGUUGUACCUCACCACUAUUCCCUGAACAUGGCCUGCCCUUCUUUUGUCUUCCUGCUUUUAUUCAGGGUGGAUGUUCAUGAUCUCUCACAACAAGCCCAUGACUACUCCCAGCAGACACUGGCUGGAAACGACCAGUUGCCCAUGCUCAUGCAUACCACCAAGUAUCAGCUCUGUUGUUAUUCGUGUUGUUUACUCAACCUGCAGAAUGCUUUCCUUGUGUUGAUCUCAUGAACCCCACUCAUUCUUCAAGCCCUCUUCAAAUGUCAUCUCCUCCAUGUAGUAUUUCCAAUAAACUUUGAUCCUUUUUCUAUGUUCCCAAGGUACUUGUUAUAUAUCUGAAUUAUAGCACUUACAACACUUUAGUAUUUCAGUUGUUUAUGUGCCUAUAUCUUCCUUCAGCCUAGAAGCUACUUGUGGGCAGAAGUGGUACCUGAUUAAAUUCUGAGUCAUCAAAGGCAAGCAGAAUGCCCAGUACAUAAUUGGCACUCAGUAAAUCACUCCCUUGCCUAGAAUUAGAGUGUAGGCUUUCAUUAAAUGUUUGAUGACGUCAUUUAUUUGUGGUCGGUUUUCAUUUUCUUUUUAAUAAGGAAAAUGUGUAUAUGUUUGAAGGCAGAACAAAAAUGCCUGGUACUCGACAGAACUUCAGUGAAUCAGGAUUGGGCCCAAGGCUGUCCCAUCCAGAUGAACAGAAUGACCCAGGAAAGAGGCAUCUGAUCUAACCUUCCUUCUAAAACCACAUCACCAUUCUCCCUGCCCUGACCCUGUUGAAUAUGGCUCUCCAUUUGCUGAGAUGUGUUGGUUAUUGAUGGAUCUGAUGUCAUCAUUCAUUGACUCAACACAUACUUACUGAGUACCUACUGUGCACAAGCCCUAGAGGCACAUGCCCUGACCCUCAGGGGCUCAUUGGAAAAAUAAAACUAUGUCGAGGCAAAGCUUCAUGAUAGAAAAGGAAACCUUUUCAUUGUUUGCCUUUCAUAUGCUUGACCUAUGUGAAAGCAGGACAGGAGAGUGAAGAACCCAGUACAAAUAAUUUUCUUUAAAGAUAAUGCCAAAGUAGUAAAACAAGCAAAAUGAAUGUAUGCUGCUAAAAUUCAGCAACCCAGCUACCCUGGGCUGUAGCGGUGGGAAGGGGGAGCAGGAUAUUGGGAGCGCUGGUGAUGAUCUUGCUCUGGGCGAUGGUUAUCUGGAGGUGCUCAGCUUGUGACAAUUCAUCAGGAGGCACUCCUCUGUGAGGUGCACUUCUGUAUGGGCAUCAGACAUCAACCAAAAGAGGGCAAAAGAUGAUGCCUGGAAAUUAAGUUGGAAGUGUUGCAGAAAGUAGUGAGGUUUUCUCAAAAUAGUUUUGAUUCAAAAUUAGGAAAUCCUUUCUACCGAAAUCACUCACAGAUGAACUCAGCUUUUCAGGGGACUGGAGAUUGAGUUUAUUGGCUGCUGUACCCAUGGUGCCCUGCACAGGGCCUGGGCUGAGCAGGCCCAAACUGCGUCUUUGUGAAAUGAUGGGAUGGGUGAAUGCCUGCAGCUGCUAGCUUCUCUGCAAGGCUUCAAGAAGUCUGACCGGAAAUUGCAGUGGAGAUGGGCACCCUGAUGGAUUUGCUUCAGGAUGAUGAGAGCAGUAGCUCUUCUUAAGAAACUACAGUGUGUCAGGUCCUUUACGUGUGUACUCCCCAGGCUUCCUACCAGUCCCCCUUAACCUGGAGGAAACAGAGGCUUGAAGGAGAAAUGAUCUAUCCAAAGCCACGCAGCUCCAGAGUCUCCUGCUUUCUCAUAUAGCACAUUACCUCUGAUACCUUCAAAGUCUAGUCCCAAUCCUGGCCUUCUACAGUUCUAGAGUCUGCCUGCUUCCUUAGAGGUGGUGUUGAGAAGAGAAACCUGUUUUCUUCUGCACAAAGGGUGGAAGUGAGGCUGUCAGUGGGUGGGGGCCAGGACCUCCUUUUCAUGAGGUGUUUUCCUGGCCCAUGCACUGCAAACAUUUUGAUGGGGACUGGAGUCUAGACCAACAGGGUGCUCAUGGGUUAGAUCUGACACCCAAGACUGAGUGACUCUGCUUCUGUCUUAAAUGUGCCUCUUGGACUGAAAUAUCUGCUUCCCUCAGAGAGAGGGACUGAAGCUGGGGAGAAAUUCAGCUUGUGAAUUUCUCUGAGACUAUGCUGCGCCCCUUAUGACUGGCAACUUAUUACAAAUGUCACAACUUAUUUGCAGCUGGAAGGAUAAUUUAGCAAGCUCUGUGUCUGCCAAAUAAGGAUGUUUGCGUUUCAUACCAAGCAUCCUGUUCAUGUGCUAACAGAAGCGUUCAGAAGAGUAAGCCUCGAUCAAACAAACAAAUGAUUAACCUUAAAAACAGACACAUAAACAGAACCACAAUGGAUGAAUUAUGCAGCAGGCUGUCCCUGCUGCUGACACCAGCUCACAUCUGGUUUCUCUGCUCAGGCUGUUCCUAUAAAUGACUUUCCUUUCUUUGCUCCCUUCCUGGCUCCCUCUACCUGUUUUCCUUUACACAGAAGCCAGAAGAGCAUGUCACAGGCCUCCCCGUCUGUGCUCCCAAGCAGUCCUUUUCCGGAGGGGCUCAGGGACCAAGGCUUCUCAAAGGCCACACAUGCUCCUGCCUGCCCAUUCAGCCAGUGGGAUGGCCCGGGAACACUCCAGGCAGACACAGGGGCCUUUUACCCCACCUUGUGGAGCCAAGUCAGUCCACAGAAGAAAGGAGAGUCAGGUACUGUUGGUUUAAGCUUGUUUGCAAGGGACCCCAGGAGCACAUAAAUCAUGCAAGCCUCACCUUGCCUUAGAGAGACAUCUUACUUAUAUGGUCUGAGUCUGGCUUUAUGAGGUGCUAAGCUGAGCUCAGGGGAGGGUACUUUAUCCUCAGACAGGCUCUCCACUCAGAACAGUGGGUGUGUUUUUGCAGAACUUCCUGAUUUGGGCUCAAAAGGCAUUUGGAAAGACUCCUCUUGGCUCUUUGCAGCUGAGAGCCUCCUGGUUUGCAGCUCCCACAGAGGAUCUGGCAAGGAUCUGCAGCAUAUGGGGGAAAGUGAGGCAGCGGGCAAGGGAGCAAGAUCUUGGGAGCGAGAUCUGGGGCCUUCUUGGUGUGCAUUUGCUCCUACCUUCCCUGGACUAGAGAGUCUGUAAGUUGAGAAAAGGACAGGCAUCUUAGCAACUCGGGAGUCCGGGAUCCAGAAACACAAAGCAAAACCUCAUCUGUUCUGCCCUGUGGAAUUUGGAAAUUAUGAUGGCUAAUACUGACAAUAGGGGCCAAGGUUUGUCCCAGGGCUUCCAGCUCUCAAAGCACUUUCCCCUGUGUUCUCUCACACACUCAGGCAAGGUAUAAACAGGCCUUACCAAAUACAGGAAUAAGAAAUAAGUAGCUUCACUUUGGGCUGUCUCUGUGGAAGAUGCAUUAUAUAAUAUAGGCAGAUUGUGUCUUGGAAUAGUUUGUUCAUGAAAGAGUAACAUACAAAAAAAAUACUGUGCUUCGGAAACUCAAUGAAUCAUCUCUGAAGCCUUAAUAAAGAGAGAGUGAAUAAUAGAAUAAUAUUAGCUUUUCCCACUUUUUCAAGUGGGUAUUUUCACCAUUUAAAAUGAGGCUGGUCAGAUUCAAGAUUCUAUGAGAUUUAAACAUCUGUUUCUCUUGCUUACUUUUUCAUUCCCAUCGAUGUCUUGGUUGAAUAGUUACAGGGCCGGAAAAAUAAUAACAUUGAAUUUUUUUUUUUAACGUAGACCAUUAGAGUGCCACGCACACCAGAGUCCUAGCCCAGUACGUGCUGAAUAGUUGACUGAAGGAAUGAAUUCUGACUUUUACCUUCUGCAUAUGAGAUUGCUGUCAAGUCUUGGAGAAACGGUGCACCCUGGGCCCAAUUGGACGGUCAUUUUUUUUUUUGGUCCCUGCUCAUAGGUCCCUCUCAUGGCAUUAUCCAUGCCCAGCCUUCCUUUCUGAGCUCAGCUUCCUUAGAGCUGCUUUUCUGUCCAGUUUCCAAGCUGAGGUCGGUGUUGCACAGAGGCCUCUGCUCCAGUCAGCUAACAAAUCUGUCCUUUGUACAUCCCUGCUGUGUACCUGGCUUCCAGCUAGACACAGCUCUAGCGGGAAGAGCAGAGAGAUAGGAGGUGCCAGGCACUUUGUUUGGUACUUUUCCUUCUCCAUCUCUAUGAGAGAUGCAAGGGAAGGAGAUCCUGGCCCUUCCCUGAUGCUAUGCACUGUCCAGAAAGAGGAGUGGAGAGAGGAAGAGGUGGGGAAUGAAUGUUUGCUGAUCCCCGCUCUGUACUGGGCUUUGGAAAAGUUUCUUGAUGCUGGCAUUUGGGCUGAAUCAUUCUUUGUCAUGGGGGCUGCUCUGAUCGUUGUGGGAUGAUUACUAGUUUUACUAGCAUCCCUGGCUUCUGGCUUUUACCCAUUGGUGCUGGCAGUAUACAUCCCUCCGUCCCCACCACAUGUGACAACCAAAGUUGUGUCCAGACAUUGCCACUGGUUUAGGUACCAGGCCUGUAUUAGCUCAUAUAAGCCUCAACAGUCCACAAGGCAGGUGUUACUAGCAUCAUUCUAUACGUGAGGAAAUGAAGCCUUGGAGAGGUUAAGACACGUACCUAAAGCCAUACAAAGGGGAUUUGAAACCCACAUCUGCCCACCAGUGUCAGAGAUCCUGGGAGGCCAACCUCUUGCAAGUUCUUUGUAGUGGGUACCUCUGUCCAGAUUUCUACUUUUCUAGGACCCUGAACUGUGACUUUUCUUCCUGUAGACCCGCGGCAUCCUCAUCCUGGCUUUGGGAUCCUACUUGCAGUUGCCAGUUAAGUCUUUUUGUAGAAGAGAAUAAGACGAGAACAAAUGUGGUGAAUAUGUCAAGUUUUGACAAUGCUCAGCCUUUCUUUUGGCUUUUGUGUCCUUUCUCCUGAUCCCUUUUCUGUCUCUGUCUCUCUAGGUCAGAGUCUUAAUCUCUCUGAUAACUUGGAGUGGUGGAGUCCUUUCGGUUUGGGGGCUAUUGAGAGCUAACUGCUGCCAUCACUGGAAGGGUUCCAUCUGUCUGAAGCUGCCACCAGGACUUUACCAGUACCUGGUGUUGGAGUACCCUCUUCCCAUAUACAUUCCCCACUCCCUGUAAACCCUCCCUCCCAACAAUUUCAUGUGCUGUGUGAGUACUAAAUUGGGGCAGUAGAGGUCUGUGUCUCUCUGGGUAUCACAAUGGGGACUCUGGGUCAGAUCAGACAUUGGGUCACAAGGCUAUAAGACGUGGCUGUGAGAACCAGGCAGAACAAGGAUGGACACAGGAUAGGCCAUGUGGUGGGUUGUGCUUCUUGGAGGUCAGGGCUGGAAUGGUGCAGAAACCCAGGUGGAUAAGGGCCGGCAGAGGGAACACAGGCAGCAGAGGGCAGAGUAAGAAGACCACAGUCCAGGGAAGACAGCCUCCAGGAGGGAGGCAACAAAUGAGCUGGGACUUGAAUGACAAGAAGAGUGUGGUCCUGGGGUCUUAGCAUUCUUGACUGAGGAAGCAGGAAGUGCAAAGAUCCUGAGGUGAGAAUGAGCCCUCAAGAAGGAAGCCCAGUGCUUCUGGAACAUGGAUGGAGGAAGAGAACCAUGAGUCAAGGAAUGGGCACAGCUUAUAGAAGUUGGAAAAAAGCAAGAAAAUGGAUUCUCUCUAGAGCCUCCAGGAGAAUCAUGGCUCUGCUGACACCUGUUUAGCCCAGUGAGACCCAUUUCAGAUUUUUGACCUCCAGUAUAGUAAGACAAUAAAUUAGUGUCAUUUGA